CUUCUCUCUUUCUUCUUUUGCUAAGUAAAUAGUAAGAGCAUUCCUAAUUGGAAAAGAGAAGCUUCAAAGAAGAUAUUGUUUCUUAUUCAGUACAUUCUCCCACACUUGGGAUAUCAAUGCACUUUUUGGUAAAUCCCCCCUUUUUUAGGAAAAAGGGUGUUCCAGCUGCUAUUUGUGCAUCAUCUCCUGAGCAGCGAGGGGAAAUAGCUUAAAAUGAGAUCUCUGGAGUAACACAGGGAGAAAAACAAACUGAUAACUCCUGACAGAUUGAUGGCUCCUUCCUUCAUCUAAAUCUUUAUAGAUUAGCAUGUCUCUUCUUUCACAGAUAUGUUUGUUUGCACUAUAUCAUCUAACCUAAUCUGUACGGGAAGUAUAUUUAUCCUAGAGCAGUGGAGCAUUUGUACUGCUUCCUUGUCACCAAGAAUAAUGGAGAGGAAAGGCAAGGCCCACGUGUGGACAAAAGGAACCACCUCCAUGGAAGGGUCAGAGGAACAAAGGAAGGAGUGAAUGGAGGUCAGCUGGCACCAGGGUAUGCUCGGAUCCAUCGUGCCUUAGGAACGGCUCCCAGCCCACUUCUGACAUUUAUCUCACAGGUCCUGUUAAGAAAAAUCCCUGACUUCUGCUGUUGUUGCCUGCAUCGAGCUGGGAGGAUAACAGGGAAUGCUGCUUGUCAGCUGUCGUGCAAGAGCAGACCUGGUGUUCUGCGCAGGGUCUCAGAGCGGCACGGUGAUGAUGUCAGCAGCAAAGGGGUGCUUAUGGCUGAUACAGCUCCUGCCAAGCCCACGGAUGAGCUGAGGCACAGCACAGCCACAGAGCAUCCACAUGUAGGUGUCACACAGCAUCUUCUGAAAUAACAGAGGCGUUACAGCUCAGAACAGCACACCAUCAGAUGAUGAAUCCAGACCUCUUCUCGUCAUCCCUGCUUGGAGCUGCACCAAAUGGGUUUAUUGCAGGAGUCCAUGCCUGAUGUCUCCCAGCGGGGAUGCGGGGCAGCCUGAGCAGCCCAGCUCAGCCCAGGGAGCAGCCAUUAAACACGAUUCUAUUGACUAAAGAAACCAAGAAGUGGAUAUUGACAUCGUCAGAAACUGUGCAGGCAAAUAAUUUGCCUCAAGAUUGUAUUCUCACCAUACUGUUAUCUACAUUUUUUGAGAUGUUUUUAUUUUCUAUUCUCCGGCUUUUAUGAAUCAGAAAGUCUUGGCUCUGGCUUUUGUGAGGAGAUAUGGUUUACACCUGGACUGCUGGUGUUGGAAUUUUAAAUAUUAAAAGCUAACGUUCAGUCUAGAUCAGCCCUACACCAUCACUCCUACAGGGAGCUGCUGUGCUGAAUGUUUCUGUUUCUGAGCACAGUAUCAACCACCUCUGUCCUUGUCAAGCCCUAUGGAAAGGAACAUUUACCAGACUCUGUGAGAAUGGUC
rnacentral:lncRNA from 1 species